UCCCUGGUGGCUCAGUGGUAAAGAAUCUGCCUGCUAUGCAGAAGACACAGGUUUGAAUUCUGGGUCAGGAAG
rnacentral:tRNA from 1 species